rnacentral:lncRNA from 1 species
CCCAUUUUCAAAUAAACCAAGAUAUAGCCAUAAAACAUUAUCAGAAGAGAUUAAAAAGACUGAGAAACCACAGUUUCUUUUGAGAAUGACAUUCAGACAUAAAAAAAUAAGACAUAGCAACAUUAAAAAUCGAGUAAAUGAGAUCGCCAGAUACAGGGCAGAAAAGAAUGCAAUGGUUACAGGAAUCAAUGGCCAAAACCCCAGAAAGAAAGUUCUUCCAAGGGUAAGUAAAAUUUUAGCCCGUGAAAUCAAACAUUGACAUUAAGCACAAGUUUACAUGGAAACAAUUUUAGAAGUAAACAAAACCAGUACUUAUAUUGUCCCGUGAAUCAAAUGAGUGCUAAUAAGACUUCGAGCCCGGGUUUUUCACUUGAUCUCUGUGUUUUCUUGCCUAACUUAAAACAUAUUAGUAAAAACUUGUGGAUCUGGUACUACUGUUGUAACAUAGUUGUCCACUCUCAUGUGAUACUAGCUGACCUUAGCACCCUGCAAAAUAAAAAGUUAAAAACAAAAACGAUACCCAGAAACGCACAAAAUGCAGAAAUAAGUAAAAGAAGAAAGUUAAGUACUGCAUUUCAAAAGGAAGCGACCAUAAUUUCAGAGUUACCAAACUUGGAGAAAAAAAGAAGCGAGACAGAGAGUGAAACUACAUGAAACACCAUAGCUUACUUCGAAGAAAAUCUUCGAAUUAUUAAAGUUGAUGAAAUGAAAACGAAAAGGAAGAUUUCCCUACCUCAAGGCCUGCACUAUUCAGUGCCACAGAUGUUUCCCUUUGAUUAGAUAGAUCCCUUUCAUAAUCAGUCAUUACUCCAUUUCUUCUCGAGGAACCUCAACCCCCGUCUUCUUCUCUAAAUUUUCACAUCUCUCUCCCUAAAUGUUCCCGUUUUUCUUCUAAAGCAACAAAGCAGGGGUCAUCCUUCGUCUCCUUAAUUCCUUCAUAAACAAAGACUCAGCAGGUUCUUCACCUGAAAUAAUACAUUAGGGCACUUUGACACAUUAAUUUGAUUUGUAGACCAAUUUGAUUAGUCACGUUAGCUCGAAGCAAUUUACAUAAAACUAAGAUGCAGUUAGUCCGGCUGGAAAUCGAGAAAAUCUUGAAUGAACUUACAUUAUGCAAAGAGUUCACUUGAGCAAUUAACUUAAAACUCAGAUGCAGCUGGAAGUUGAAAAAAUCAUUAGAAUAUAAGAAAAACAUAUCACAAUUCCUUGAUGGCAAAAUUUUGGUUUCGUGCGCAAGGUAAACUGAAUUAGACGAAUAUAGUUGAGGAUCUGCACAGAACAACUAUGCAAUUACGGUGUUCCUUUCCCAUUUCAUGGACAAGAUCAAUAGAGUCUCAACCGGCAAUAUAAUUAACUACAAAAUAGACUAUAAUAAGUUCCAAGAUUGGGCUGUUAGAUUUAACGCCAAUUAUAGUGUUACAGAGCUCGACUCAGAACGUCGUAAGAAGAGAAGAGUUUCAACCUACUAAUUUAACCAUUAAAAUAUAAUAAUUAAUAAAUUAAAUCUGCAUUCCAACUUACCGUUACUUCAAUUUUAUGUUUCUCGUAUUUUGAAGGAAACCGAUAACCUCCCAUUAUUAAGUACAAUUCUGAAACUUUGAAGCCUGAUAUUCCUUUUCACAGAUGCCUUGGCGAUGAAUUUCGAGCAGAAACAGCUCAAUUUCUCGCACAAAUCGACGGGCUGGAUUUCGAUAGCUGAAGAGAAGUCAUUACAAUUUUUUCAUAUUUUACCGUUUUUGUAAUAAUUCCCUGCUUUUGGAUUAGCUCCAAAUCUAAUGAUUGAAAAUGGAUGAAUUUUCGCGCUAAUGUGGGACCAAAAGAAUUUCUAACAAAACCAAACCAGAUCAAAGCAAACUGAACAUUUCUGCAAACAAAAAAUUAAAAAAUAAAAAUAAUAAUAAUAAAAAUAAAAAAUUAAUGGUUCUACUUCUGGCUCGGUUCUAGUACUAAAACCAAGAACCAAACAAAGAACAAAAUUCAAUUUUAAAAUUUUAUUAUAUAUAUUUACUUGACAAUUAGUGAAUCAUAAUUCACAACAAAAAAUUCAAGAUUCAAUUGAAAAUCAAGACAAAAAGGUCAUGCACUUUCGGUUUCUCAUUUCUCAUUGUGGAGAUUGGAAACCCAAAUACAUUUUGGAGAUUCAGACCCUAAUUUAUUUUUCAUUAUCUCCCUUUUCAUUUAUACACCGACUCUCACGUGGAUAUCAACGAUGCGUCCUGUCAUCUAUCGUCACGCUCAGCCACCAACGCUCAUGUAUUUUUCUGAAAUUGAAUCCUCAACCUUCAAUUCUUC